rnacentral:tRNA from 1 species
GGUUGUGGCUCAGCGGUAGAGCGCUCGCCUAGCACGUGCGAGACCCUGGGUUCAAUCCUCUGCACCA